GGGGACGUAGUUCAGACUGGUUUAGAAUGCCGGCCUGUCAAGCCGGAGAUCGCGGGUUCAAAUCCCGUCGUCCCCG
rnacentral:tRNA from 2 species